rnacentral:lncRNA from 1 species
GUUGAAUUCAGGGAAUAAUUUAGGGUUUUAUGCACAGUUCUCUACUCCUGUGGAGACCAGCACGACGUCGUCUACAAAAGUGAACGAGGAAGAGGAAGAGAAGCGGAAUUACUAUCUGAAUACGGGUUACGCUAUUCGGACUAUCCGAGAGGAGUUUCCCGCCCUCUUCUAUAAGGAGCUAACCUUUGAUAUCUAUAGGUCUGAGCUUUUUAAUCAUCCAUUUGCUGCUUUGAGGAGUUGUUAGUCUAAAUUAACUUAUGUUAGCUUUACAAACCAUAGCUACUCUCAAGUGUGGAUAAUAGAGGAGAGUUCCAAUAGGUUGACCAUUAUUAUUAAAGAUGGUCUAAAAUUAUGAUGGCCCUUCUGAAUACUGAAGCCGAAAUGGGCUUGAAUACAGUGGAAUUGAUACACAAGGUUCCUAUACCUGACCUUAACUAUUAUGGAACUGAGCCGUAAAUCGAUUGAUGCAGCUGCUCUUCUGGUUGUUUUGCGCUACAGUAAGAGCAAGCAUAGGCAAAUAGCCGUAUGGAUUCACUAUUUACUUUCUAAUCGAUAAACAAAUUAUAUACUAAUUAUACAUAAUUAUGCUAUUAUACAUGAGUUAUAUAAAUAUUAUAUAUUUGUAGUUUAUUUUUAAUUCAAGCAGUUGAUUGUUCGGCUAUUUAGAUUGUUUGGCUAUUGUUUUGUAAAACUCAAAUAGGAAUAGCGUUCGAAACUCAAGUCCCGAGUUUUUAAGAAGAGAAUUUAUAUGAAAGAGAAGUAAACAAUUGCUUUUCUCUUUUUAUGUCUGCAUUUUCAAGAGGUUAUAUUACUUAUAAUUUGCAUGGUACUUGUGAAUGUUCUUUUUUAUAUCACUUUCCGGCUUAGAAACCAUCUUAAGCUUAGAGGGUUAAAGUUAUAUUUUGGGAUACUUUAGCGCAUUUUGCUGCAAUUCACUUUUUAGCUUAAAGCAUAGCAGUUGAUUCAGUCCUUAGUCAUGGAAGUCUCAUGGGAUUUGGAUAUUUCGACAGGGUUGCCUAAACUGUAAACUGAGUUAUAUUAUAUGAACCAUAUGUAACUAUACACCUUGUGCAUGGAGAUUUUCUUUUUAUAUCGAUAAAAUCAUCGCUCUAUCAAACAAAUAAUAUAAUAAGAAUAAUAAUAAUUGAACCAUUUGGGAUGUCCCUAGUUUUGUAGAGAGGGCGUCUAGAAUCUCAUUGGAUCAAGACAAACAAGUGUUCUUCCAACACAAACUUGCAAAACAAACAGAUCGUGGUAGUCCUUUUCCCCGGAGAUUAUAGGGAAUGGAAUUGGUCAUGUUGGGUGAAUUGCCAUGUUCUAGGGUCAUGGCGGGUGAGCAGUAUCUGCUUUGUCAAAGUAUGUGUGGCUUCACAUGUCACUGUCAUCAAGUAACCUACAGAGAGACUUCCAAGGGCCUAAGGUAUCAGAAGAAUGAUCACUCUCACAUCUUCUAUCUUUUCUUUUGAACUGGUUUAUUCCCCAACUAGCUUGGUUUAAGGACUUGUUCUCGUGGUCGUUGAUUUAAGCUGGCUCACCGCUCUUGGUCACCUGGUUAUAUCAAGGAGAUACGAGGAAAUGGAGGGGGCUGGCGUAGCCUCCUUUCAAGCAGUUUAGUUCAGAGGACCCAUAACUAAGAUAUAAUUUAGAACUUAAGAUAAGUAUUUAUGUAGAUGACGCGGAAGCAGCUUUCAGGAAAUAAUACAGUAAUUUGUUCUUAUUCAGCUCCACCUUCCUGAUGUUGUGUGAAUUGCAUAUGCAUGUAACUGUGCAUCAUGGAACUUAGGUUAGUCAAGAAUUAAUGCAAGUGUGAUGACAUUGUAUACAAUUGCGACCACAUUGAAUAAUGUUUAUAGGUGCUAAUGGUGUUCUUCUGCUCUAUGUAGGGAUGAUAUUGUCUUCAAAGAUCCACUCAACACUUUCACUGGCAUUGAGAAUUAUAAAUCAAUCUUCUGGGCUCUACGAUUCCACGGCAGGAUGUUCUUUAGGGCCUUGUGGAUUGAUAUUGUUAGUGUAUGGCAACCUGUGGAGAACAUGAUAAUUUCACUGGCAUUGAGAAUUAUAGAUCAAUCUUCUGGGCUCUACGAUUCCACGGCAGGAUGUUCUUUAGGGCCUUGUGGAUUGAUAUUGUUAGUGUAUGGCAACCUGUGGAGAACAUGAUAAUAGUUCGGUGGACUGUUCAUGGCAUUCCCCGUGUUCCAUGGGAGAGCCACGGUCGCUUUGAUGGCACUUCAGAGUAUAAGCUUGAUAAAGAUGGGAAGAUUUAUGAGCACCGCGUUCACAAUAUUGCUUUGAGUGGACCCCCGAAGUUCCAUGUACUUGCUGUGCAGGAAUUAAUUGAAUACAUCGGCGGCGCCUCAACACCAAAGCCAACUUUCUUUGAAAUCUUUUCUUCUACCUUGAGGAACAUUGCUCCAGUAACGAAAAUUUCAAGCUUGAGGCGGAACCUGGGCUUAAUUCUAGCCUCCCUAAAGAGAAUUGAGGAGGAAAAGUCAGAUCAAACAUAGCAUUAUGGUGAAGUGCCAAAAAUAAUCGGUGAAUUUUUGUACUAUAUUCCAGACUCACAUACCCAUACAAGUUUAUAUAAAUGUACUAAUAGAACUCCCGCAGGCAGCAAAACGUAUCUGGAGUUCUUUUCUUAUUUUUGUUUCUUCAUGAGGAUAUCUACUUCUCUCUACUGUAUGGCUCCAGCUACUGGCUUGUGUCUGGGAGCACAAGACUUUGUAAAUAUUUUUAUAGUAUAGCAUACUAUGUUGCUUCCCGUUGGAGUGUUUGCUCUGCAUUUUGUAAAGGUACUAAUCCUCGUCAUUUUAGCCAAUGUC